GACGAACGCUGGCGGCGUGCCUAAUACAUGCAAGUAGAACGCUGAAGGAGGAGCUUGCUUCUCUGGAUGAGUUGCGAACGGGUGAGUAACGCGUAGGUAACCUGCCUGGUAGCGGGGGAUAACUAUUGGAAACGAUAGCUAAUACCGCAUAAGAGUAGAUGUUGCAUGACAUUUACUUAAAAGGUGCAAUUGCAUCACUACCAGAUGGACCUGCGUUGUAUUAGCUAGUUGGUGAGGUAACGGCUCACCAAGGCAACGAUACAUAGCCGACCUGAGAGGGUGAUCGGCCACACUGGGACUGAGACACGGCCCAGACUCCUACGGGAGGCAGCAGUAGGGAAUCUUCGGCAAUGGACGGAAGUCUGACCGAGCAACGCCGCGUGAGUGAAGAAGGUUUUCGGAUCGUAAAGCUCUGUUGUAAGAGAAGAACGAGUGUGAGAGUGGAAAGUUCACACUGUGACGGUAUCUUACCAGAAAAGGACGGCUAACUACGU
rnacentral:rRNA from 1 species